rnacentral:rRNA from 1 species
UACACACCGCCCGUCACACCAUGGAAGUCUGCUGUACCAGAAGUAGGUAGUCUAACCGCAAGGGGGGCGCCUACCACGGUGUGGCCGAUGACUGGGGUG